CCGGGGCCCCGCACGAUGGUACAGUCUGCUCCGCCAGCGUCACGUGGGCACCCCCUCUGUGACGUCGGCGUCUUCGCUGUAGCAAAGCUCGGCCUCUGGAAUUCUGAGAACUAAUUUGCUAUUCGGUGACAUAAGAGGGGGAGUGCGCUUUGCUUUCCCGGGGUCUGGGGCUAAUUCCUCCUCUCUUACCCAUAAACUCAGCUACUCGAGCUAAAUACACAAAAGGGAGAGAGAGGUUCGACCCGUUGGAAAAAGUCUGUUAUAUAUAGUAGCUUUAGAGGCGAGUAAGAGAAAAAAACAAUAAACACCACAGCUCUUUCCAGCUAGAAUAUUAGGCACCACGAGAAAAAUAUUUGCCAAGCAGUUUUCGAAGCCUCCAAAAAGUGCCCCAGGAUUCUCUUGAAAUCUGAGAGGUCCUGCCUGCAAAACAGAGUCCGGACAAUGAGGGAACUUGCCUUUAUUCUUUCAGUUGACUAAAUUGAAAGCAGUAUGGCUAAUUUUUGUGUGUCAUCAUCUGGAUGGAGAGCACUAGGGAGGCACCAAAGGCCAAAUGUCGUUAUGGUGGUCGAUGACUCAAGCCACCUCCCUGAUCUGCUUAUUCAACAUUUUCCUGUGGAGAUUCUCUUGAAAACAAGGCCCUGAAGAAUCUUUACCAUCAGUCCAAAUGGGGCAUACAGAACUUCAGAUUCAUAACUGAGGUUGGGAGGAGCCCCAAGAGCUUCCCGGGAUGUCUGCCAUUUCAUUGUACAGCUCUGAUAGAACUGUUGAUCUCAUCAGAGUUGUAACUCUGGGUGUCAAGGGGAAAUAACUGACUGGACCCAUGACUCUGUGACUUUGUCUUCAUCAUCUGGAUUUGACACUAUAAUCUAAACUCUCCUCAGCCUUCAGCCUAUUAGUUCUGUAGUUGAAAGGUCCAGAGAGACAAAUGGUUUGCAAAGACAACCCCCAAAAUUAGUGGUAGAGUUGAUUCCCAUCAACAAGUCCACCCUGAAUCACUUAUUUUGCAGCUGUAUCCACUCUGGAAAGCUGAAAGCUGCUAUUACAUUGAUGUACAUUACUUCAGUAAUGCCUCAUUAAUUUCUAACCAGUUGUCAGUUACCAAUGGUGUCUAGUUCCCAUGCACUACUUGAGUUUUAAGUGUCUCUUCCUUUUUUUCCUAUCUUUUCCCACAUCUAUCAACCUCUCUGCCAAGUGGCUAUAAAAUCUUUGGACCAAUACUUAUGUCCACUGUGGAGGCUGACAUUUAAAUAAUUCUUGGUGAAAUUCAGUGAGAUUGAAUCCUGUCGUACUAUAUUUUGGUUAGCAUGACUCUUUCAGUGAUCCAUUGGGUCACAUGUCUCAAGAAUCAAAGUUCAGCCCUUUGAAUUAGUAAUUCUACUUCUAGGAACCCAUCUUUGAGGUGCAUACAACAUACAGGAAAAAACUCAAACAUAUAGGGUCAAAGUCGUUAUAUGAAUAUAGGUAUCUAAGUGUUAUAUCUAACAACAACAAAUACGCACAGCCUCCAUGUCCCAUUGUGACUGACUUGAGAGAAAAGGUGUUGGGUGGAGAAUGAUGAAGUGUAAUCUAAUUUUUAAAAAUUGGAAUUGGAAGAUACUUAUGGUAAUAAAUAAAGUGAAAAGUAGGAUAUAUAUAUAUA